rnacentral:rRNA from 1 species
GUGCCAGCCGCCGCGGUAAGACAGAGGGGGCAAGCGUUGCUCGGAAUCACUGGGCGUAAAGGGCGCGUAGGCGGGAUGGCGAGUCGGUCGUGAAAUCCUUCGGCUCAACCGAAGAACGUCGGCCGAUACUGCCGUUCUUGAGGGAUGCAGAGGAGACUGGAAUUCCCGGUGUAGCGGUGAAAUGUGUAGAGAUCGGGAGGAACACCGGUGGCGAAGGCGGGUCUCUGGGCAUCUCCUGACGCUGAGGCGCGAAAGCGUGGGGAGCAAACGGGAUUAGAUACCCCGGUAGUCCACGCUGUAAACGAUGACGACUAGGUGUGGGGUGGUUCAGUCCACUCCGUGCCGCAGCUAACGCAUUAAGUCGUCCGCCUGGGGAGUACGGCCGCAAGGUUGAA